UACGUAGGGGGCUAGCGUUGUCCGGAAUCAUUGGGCGUAAAGAGCGUGUAGGCGGCUCGGUAAGUCCGCUGUGAAAGCCCGGAGCUUAACUCCGGAGGGUCGGUGGAUACUGCCAGUCUUGAAGGUGCUAGGGGGAGAUGGAAUUACCGGUGUAGCGGUGAAAUGCGUAGAUAUCGGUAGGAACACCAGUGGCGAAGGCGGUCUCCUGGGGCAUUCUUGACGCUGAGGCGCGAAAGCUGGGGGAGCGAACGGG
rnacentral:rRNA from 1 species